rnacentral:tRNA from 1 species
GGGCGUAGAGCUCAGUGGUAGAGUGCAUGCUUAGCAUGCACGAGGUCCUGAGUUCAACCCCCAGUACCGCUG